UCUUGAUGCAGUGGAAAGUGAUCAUAGACUUACAUAACAUUCUAUAUCGCAAAACAUUACCAUAAUCAAUAAUGCCAAUACAAUGUUAGCAUCUUGUUUUUAUUUUGACUUGUGCAAUGUUCUACGAAUCUCUCAUAAACACAACGAUUAACUAUUGCAAAACGAUUCUCUAGCCUAUUGAGAGAUUGGCUAUAUGACAGGCCUAUGGCGUCGUGUUCUGGGCGUAGGUGUUCAUAUUAGAGCCCAUGCACCUUCCUUUACGCAUUGUGUUGACAUGUUCGAUCCGGCAUUGUAGUUUUGUCUAGACAAUCCUGUUUACAAUGCGCUGUGGUCCGUUAUCAAAUGCACCAGUGCGUUUAUAGAAAAUCAAAACAACUACAAGGCACCGAGAAAAUAUAAUUCACAAGUUUGAACAAACAAAGAGAGGUAUGUAGCUCGGGGACGGAGGAGGCUGGGACUUGUGAUCUGAUGUCAGCGCAGAGCUCGAGAUCAUUGAAGAGCGCUGAUGAAAAAUGGAAGAGUUACCACUGUUGGCCACAUUGGCUAACAAGAAAAAUCCAACCUUCAGCAGAUGUCGAGGGAAAUAGCCUUCCAUUCGAAAUCAAAUGCACUGUGCAGGGGGAUUAUUUGAGAUCCGCUCGAGUUUGAUGGAGUCGGUAACAUGAAGCAAUAAUAGGCUGACAAGGAUAAGUCUUGCAGCCUGGCGAAUAUGCAGUCUGCGUCUCAAUACACAUCCCAAUCAACAUGUGGGCACAGAGGGCCUGAAGAGACAAGUCUUCAGGGAGACAUCUCACUCGCCCAGAAACCGCCCAAGACUCCAGACCUCUCCUUCUGUAAAGCAUGGACUACCCGGAUGUCCACUUCCACUGGGGGCUGCAGUGAGACAAAGCUACUGGGAUCUCCUAUAGGACCUACGGUCUUCUGACAGACACCUGCUACAGUACAAGGGAGAACCAUGGCACCACGGUCCUCGGCUCUACCUCUAUUCAUCUGCAGUGGAACAUGAUGCCCAGUAAUACUGCAUGACUAUUCUAAUCAUAUUGAAAAUAGUUUGUUUCAGUUCAAGUUUCAUUCUACUGUACCAGUGUUCAUUAUAUGCAGUUGCUAAAACGUAUAUGGUUUGUCUUGACAUGAUGCAAGCAAUGAUUAUUACAUUGUUAUUCACAAAGAUGAUUAUUGUCUCAAUAAAUAAAGAUGUCCAUA
rnacentral:lncRNA from 1 species